rnacentral:rRNA from 1 species
GCGGAGGAAAAGAAACCAACAGGGAUUGCCCCAGUAACGGCGAGUGAAGCGGCAACAGCUCAAAUUUGAAAUCUGGUCCCCCCGCGGGGCCCGAGUUGUAAUUUGAAGAGGAUGCUUCUGGCAAGGUGCCGUCCGAGUUCCCUGGAACGGGACGCCGCAGAGGGUGAGAGCCCCGUACGGUCGGACGCCGAGCCUCUGUGAAGCUCCUUCGACGAGUCGAGUAGUUUGGGAAUGCUGCUCAAAAUGGGAGGUAAACCCCUUCUAAAGCUAAAUACCGGCCAGAGACCGAUAGCGCACAAGUAGAGUGAUCGAAAGAUGAAAAGCACUUUGAAAAGAGAGUUAAAAAGCACGUGAAAUUGUUGAAAGGGAAGCGCUUGCGACCAGACUCGCGCCCGUCGGAUCAGCCGUCGCUCGUCGGCGGCGCACUCCGGCGGGCUCGGGCCAGCAUCAGUUCGCCUCGGGGGGAGAAAGGCGGCGGGAAUGUGGCUCUACGGAGUGUUAUAGCCCGCCGCGUAAU